GUAGAAUUCUACGCAAUUUGGAAUCAACAAAGACUGAGCUGUGUCUGUGUAGAAAUCUCCUGGAAGCAAACUUUCAAGGACAGGGGAAUGAGGCAGGACCCAGGCUGUACAACUGGGGACCAGAAAGAUGCCUGGGACCUGAAUGUUCAGGACGUUCAUGAUGAGAACAAUGAACAGACUUCCUCUUUUUCCUCCAAGGUCGUUUUAAAGCUUCUAAAAAUUAAGCCACACCACCGAACCCAGGCUGAAAUUUUACACUGCCUGGCGAUAAUAAAUUCAGCAUCAAGAAGAACAUGUAUUUGCAAGAGUGCCCCUGGUUUGCUGACUUUGCAGAAUGGGAAAAAAAAAAAGGGGACAUGGUAACACCAUUUCUAUUUGCCACACUGUUGUUUUUCAUUUUCCGGUGAGACUGUAGACCCCACCUGCAUUUCAUUUGUUCCCUCAUUUUUGUUCAUGUUUCACUUUUUCUUUGUCGCGCCUCAUCCUCCGGAUUUAACAGCGCUCCAUUGGCCAUGCAUAACGUGUACCCCACAUCCUCUCGAUCUGUUAAGGCAUUUUCUGUGUGCAUUUCAUGGCAGAUUCUGAUUGUAAAUUGGUUGUAGAAACUUCACUGGCUUCCUGUCUGUGACAUUUCUGAUGGAUGGUCCCUAUUUAUACAGAACAGCAUGGCGUGUGCAGAGUU